AGAGAUUUUAUCAUUAAUAUUUCUUAUAUAUAUAUAUAUAUAUAUAUAGUAUAUAAAAACA
rnacentral:tRNA from 1 species